GCUGCGGGUGGUGCGGGCCUGGCUCACACCCGGACUCGAGACGUCUGAGAGCAGCGCGAUGCAGGCGACGCUUGCGAGGUUGGCGGCUCUGCGGAGAAUCGGUCUCCCCUCCGGCCGGGUCGGCGGGAGGGGGCUGUGGACAGGCCGCCCGCAGUCAGAUAUUGACAACGUGAAGCCAUUGGAGGGUGUAAAAAUUCUAGAUCUAACAAGAGUGCUGGCAGGACCUUUUGCUACUAUGAAUUUAGGAGAUCUUGGAGCAGAAGUUAUAAAAGUGGAAAGACCAGGAGCCGGUGAUGAUACACGAACUUGGGGGCCACCUUUUGUGGGUACAGAAAGUACAUAUUUUCUCAGUGUUAACCGAAAUAAAAAAAGCAUAGCUGUUAAUAUCAAGGAUCCAAAAGGGGUGAAAAUCAUCAAAGAGCUUGCAGCUGUUUGUGAUGUAUUUGUGGAAAACUAUGUCCCUGGAAAACUGUCCACAAUGGGCCUGGGGUAUGAAGAUAUAGACAAGAUUGCUCCUCACAUCAUCUAUUGCUCCAUCACAGGUUAUGGUCAGACAGGCCCCAUGUCUCAAAGAGCUGGUUAUGAUGCCAUUGCCUCUGCUAUUUCUGGUCUGAUGCACAUCACAGGGCCUGAGGAUGGUGAUCCAGUUCGCCCAGGAGUGGCCAUGACUGAUCUUGCCACUGGCCUGUAUGCAUAUGGAGCCAUUAUGGCUGGAUUGAUACAAAGAUAUAAAACUGGAAGAGGACUGUUCAUUGAUUGUAACCUACUGUCAUCUCAGGUGGCAUGUUUGACCCAGGUAGCUGUUAAUUAUCUCAUUGACCAAAAGGAAGCAAAACGUUGGGGCACUGCUCAUGGCAGUAUUGUUCCUUACCAGGCUUUUAAAACCAAGGAUGGCUAUUUUGUAGUUGGAGCAGGAAAUGACCAACAGUUUGCUACUGUGUGCAAGAUCUUGAAUUUGCCUGAGUUGAUUGAUGAUUCCAAGUAUAAAACCAACCAUCUUCGAGUGGAGAAUAGAAAAGAGCUUAUUAAAAUACUAUCUGCACGGUUUGAAGAAGAAAUGACCACUAAGUGGUUAUAUUUCUUUGAAGGCAGCGGGGUCCCAUAUGGCCCAAUCAACAAUAUGAAGGGUGUAUUUACAGAACCUCAGGUGCUACACAAUGGCCUCAUUAUGGAAAUGAAGCAUCCAACUGUGGGGAAGAUUUCAGUCCCAGUUUGAAGAAUGUACAAUAAAUGGAGUGACCACCUAGACUCUUCCAUGGUUACAAAUCUUCCUCUUCUGGGCUACCCAGUUCUUCACCUUUCCCUGUUAUUUUUAGCUUUUUUCCCCCCUCUUCCUGUUAGAUAGAAAAUUAGAUAAUGUUUCUGAAAUCACAUAUCCUCAAAGUGCAGUUAAAUUUAUAUAAUGGAUAGCAGCAAUGGGGAAAGCUGUCACAAAUCUCACUGGGGAAAAAGAAAAAUUAAGAGGAACCAAGGUUCCAGCUUAUAUCCCUCCAUAAAAAUUUAAAUAUGUUGGUCCUUAGAAGGAAUUCAAAGUAAAACCAAUGGGAGAAUGAGAAGUAAGAUAAGUUAUUUCUUCCAGGUAGAAAGGCCUUUCAGAUGACAACAGGAAAAGUGUGUAAAGUUUUCAUGUUGUAUGUAGUGCAUAAUCUGUCUUCUAGAAAGAGCAUAUUCCUUCAGGGAUCAGGGUAUGCUGCAAAAAGAGGAAAGAGAUGAAAGGAAGUCUGUCAACAGAACGAGAGAAAGCUGGCAGGGAAGUGAGUUUGCAAAGCGACUAGCCAUGGUACUUCCCGAAGUCCUUAAUUAUUUUCAACAUUAUUAAACCCUGAACCCAUGGCAGGGUACUAAGAGUGAAAUCAAUCAGUGUAUUCUCAGGGGAUUUGACACUGAGGGCCUGUAGCCUUCUCUGGAAGUCUUGUUACAGUGAGACAAGACCUUAGACAUUGUUCCCAUUCAGUGAGAAAUGAAAAGCGCAGUGACUUUCCUUCCUAGGAGAGCUAGGAGGAAGCAGAGGAGGCAUGAAUCCCAUCCCCAGGAAUGUCUUCCAUCAGGAACCAGAGAAGCUCUGAGAGCCAAAUUACUGUCGCUGGUAUGACUUAGGAUCUCCAUCAACUAUGCUUAUCUGUGCCAUGAGGAAGAAAUAUUUUGUGAGACCUGGACUUUCACUCUCAGGGAAUUCAUGUUCUGUAAGUUGGGACUGGGAAAGUGGCCAAGAACUCAGUUGUAUCUGUUAAACUUGUGUCCUCAUCAACCAGACCCUAACGGGGUUUCCUGAUAAGUGACUAACCAACAAGGAAAUCCUUGUUGCAGAUUAGCCCUAAGUUAUCAAUCGAUUUCUGGGGUGCAGAGUUGUUUUCACUAUGAGGAAGUGAUAUAUAAGCUAAAGAAUUUUCCUGGAUGAAUAUUUAAUUAGAUUUAUACAUUCUUUGGGAUUUUUUUUUUUAACUAUCACUAUGCAAAAUAAUCCCUAAGUUUAGAGGUAUGUUUGAAAUAAUCUAAGGGGAUCACUGAAAUGUCCAGCCAAAUAGAGAAAUCAAAACAAAAACAAAAUAAGAAGGAACAGGAAGAGUGGAAGUCUGCAUGAUUGUCAAAGUUUCUUUUUUAUUGUCCUAAAAGAUGGGUCAGACUUCUUUCUGGGAUCAGUUCUUGAAUCUCUGUUGUUUUAGCUGUAGCCAACUCUCAUUGGUACUUGAAGGAAUUUUUUUCUGGAUCAGAUUUAUAUACUGACUUCUGGUGGGUCUUUAGGGAAUAAAUUAAAUUAAUUAAAUGUAAUUAGGUAUAUAAACCCUUUGGAGAAAUUAAAGUUGAUAUCAUGUAGUAGUAAAAUACAAAAGUUUUAAAAUCUCCCAGUUUAGACUUCUAUGCCAUGGAAUUUACUUGGAUAAUCAGGAAGAUACAUUAUCUUUGCCUCCAAAUGGCUUCUACCUGGACUGAGUUGCUUGCCUCCAUUGCUGAGUUUAUCUGUGGUUGGAAACGAGUCAUUUUAGUCCUCCCCAUAGGGAAAAGUGGCUCUGCUUUUCUCCAGUAGCAUUGCCAAGAAGGGACACAAUGGUGCAUCCAAAGAUGACAGUUGGGCUGAAUUCCAUAGCUAAAUUGUUUUCUUUAGAUAGAAAUCCUUAACAUUUCAAGACAUAUAUAUAUUCCUGUUAAGAAGACCUAGCCAGAGAAAAUAUUAAAAGAAUAAACCGUAUAUUUAAAAAAGAUUUUAAAAGAUCAUUGUUUAAUUUUAACUAAGCACACAGUGUUAAUAUUAAAAAGAGAUGUUGGUGGGGUGAAGAAAUUGUAGGUAAAGGGUUAAACAAAAUCUUCCAACACCCAAACCCUUGGGGACUGCUGAGGGUCUAUGGGCCUCAUUGCUUAUCUCCUAGCUUGAGCUUACGUUGUCUUCUGAGUGUGUCCAUCGUGUAUCAGCUUUAAUGACAUAAUAUCUACUUGUUUUCACAUGUUAACCUGGCUACAGAAUUAGCACUCAUUGUGUUUCUGAGUUUAUCCUCUUAGUAGGAUAGAAGGAGAGAAGGCCUCAGGGGCCUUGAACUCAUUUCCCAGUCUGUCCUUCAUCUAGAUAUCAUGUGAGUCAUAGAAGGCUGAGUGACUCUCAGAGUGGGUAUCCCCUUGGUCUAACUACUCAGAGUCCUUGUGUCUAUUAUGAGUGUAUACAAUAGCCAAGUUAUAGAACCAACCCAGGUAACUGUCAACAGAUGAUUGAAUAAAGAAAACAUAGCAUAUAUACACAAUGGAGUUCUGCUCAGCCACUAAGAAGAGUGAAAUUAUGUCAUUUGCUACUAAAUAGAUGGAACUGGAGGACAUCAUGCAUGAAAUAAGGCAGAAUAAUAAAGUCAAGGGUCAAAGUUUUUUUUUUUUUCUCAGCAGAAACUAGAGAGAAGAAAUUCUAAAGGGGGGAUUUCAUGAAAAUGGAAGGGAGAAAAGUAGUCUGGAGAAAGGGGAUCUGAGAGAUGGAGAAAGGGAGGGAAAGGGGAAGAAGUGCAGAAUAAAACCAACCCAACUAUGCCAAACACAUGCAAGAGUGUAUCACAAUGAAUCUCGCUUUUUUGUAUAACCUACCAACUAACAAAAUAAAUAAAUAGUAGAGUAGGGGAAGAGUGUUCAUGGAGAGGGAAGAAAUUAGGCAAAGGGGAAGUGCUAGGGAAUGCAGUGGACCAAAUUAUGUUAUGUGCAUUUGUGCUUAUGUCACAAUGAAUCCCACUAUUACAUGUGAUUAUAAUGCCCUAAUACAAUUUUUUGAAGUGUUUCUAAGAGCUUUGGUUAUUUCAAGAAGCAGUAAACUUUGCAAAACCAUUAAGCAAAAACUUAAAUUCAGUUAAAAAUGAAAAAAGUAGUUAAUAUAAACAUUUUAGUAAUGUGCAGAGAGUGCAUGAUGAAAUAAGAAAGCCACCAACAUGCCACAGCCACAGCAAGCUAGAAAAGCACUACCCCAUAUGGCUGUAAAGACUGUCCUCAACUGUUUGCCUCCUUAAGACUGAAUCUGCUUUCUCCAUCUUAUGGACCUUCAGGUUAAUGUGUGACCUUAGAUAAUUCACUUUACUUUCUAGUGUCUUUAAUGGGACAAACUUUUUUUUUUUAAAUCUCUUUCCAUUUAAAGGAAACAUAUAAUUCAUUGUAUUGCAUAUAAAUAUAUUUUGUGAAUAGAUUUUAAUGGCAUCAUUGCUAUGGAAUAUUCAAAUUUGAAAGCAGAUGUAAGUCAACAUCUCUUGAGUACUCCCCUAUAUAUGGUGCAAAUGCAAGCAUAUUAUAUGUACAAUUUAUUUAAUCUCCAGGUCAAUUCAGAAAGCCGUAAAUUAUUGUGUCCAUUUCACAGCUGAGAAAAAUGGACCCUUGUUAUAUAUUGCUAACUGAAUGUUAGUAUAGCAAUUUAGACCCAGGUCUGGAUAUUUCUAAGAAAUCUGUCUUCUUCUAGCCAAAAAGGAAAGUUAAGCUGAUUAUUGAGAGUAUUUUACCUUACAACUCUAGUCUCUAAUUUAAAGGUAGCUGAGUAUAGUUUUGUUUGAAGAUCAGCUUAGAAAAUUAUUUAACUAAUGCUUAAAUUUCAAGAAUUUAAACUUAGAUUGAGUCUAUCUCCUUUCUGGAAUAAGUUUGUGCUUUUGAAAGUCUAUAAUUGUGUUUCUACUUGUUUUAAAGCCAUCAGAAAAUGUAUUGCUAGGCCAUUUUGAUAGUCUCAAGGGCAUAUAAGUGCAAACGCACCAAAACAUGUGGAUUACAUUUCCCUCAAGUUGUACUGUUUUCACAAAUUAACAGAAAUGCAGUUUGGAAGAGGGGAAAAAAGAGAAAUGUUUGGGAUGUAUAUGCAGAUUUCAAUCAUCAAAAGACCCAAGAUGUUAAGCAGCCACCCCAACUUACCCCUUUGCUUUGUAUUUGACCUGGAUGCUUUGUCUUUGCAGUGAUCUGCUUAUGGCCCUGGGGCUGAGUUGGGAAAUUUCCACUUGUGGGUUUUGUUUUAAAGUUAGAGCCUGAUUUUCUUUGAGAAACAUUAAUAAAACUGCAAACAAUGAUUUAUUGGUAUAAGAAAGUUAAGAUGAUUUUUUUUUUCUGAGCAUGUGGUUGAUAGCAUUAUCAGAGCAAGAGUUUAAAAAUUAAUUAGUAACAAAUAUUGUGCUUCCUAGAAUAGUCAAAGACACAAAAGUAAAAUGGUUGUUGUCAGGGACUGAGUGUAGUGGAUAGGGAGUCAAUGUUUUAUACAGACUCCCAGUUUGGGAAGAAGACAAAAUUCUGGAGAUGGAGGACAGUGAUUGUUGCAUAACAAUGUGAAUGUACUCAAUGCCACUCACACUAAAAAUUGUUGACAAAGUACAUUUUAUGUUAUGUGUGUGUGUGUAUCUACAAUACACAUAUGAUUAGUAAGAAAAAUUAAUUUGCUUUUGUUUUCACCUAUACACCUGAUAUGCAUAUAUGGUGUGCAUACAAGAUAGGGUAGGUUCGAGAGACCUGAGAUCAAAACUACACGUUGUGAUUUCUAAUUAGAGAUACUUAACAGUCUAAUCUGACUCAAUAGUAUCUUUAUUUUUUGCACUACAAGAUCAAAUACUUAUCUCAUUGCAACUUACAGUAAUCAAAUAAUAGUAUAUGCCAAGUACUUAGCACAUAGAAGGAGUAAGUGGAAGCUCUUGUAGAUAAUUAAUGAAUUUUUUAACAGCAUUUACAGUAGCAAAGAGUCUUGGGUAAAAAUAAAACUAGCCACCUUAUUAGUUAUUUUUUAAACCAUGAAACAUCAAAAUAAUCAUGUGUAUUUCUCUAAGAAUUAAACAAGAACAAUUUUUGGUUUGUUUUAAAAAAAUGUUGAUUUAGUAUUUACUCUGUGCCAUAUGCUGACUGAUAGAUAAGCAUCCCAGAAAAAGGGCACAUCAUGGAGACCAAUCAAAUGAAAUGCACUGAGGACAGGGAAAUCCUGAGACUGUUGCCGUCACAUCUGUGUGAAGCUGAACUGACUCCUUUAUCUGUUUUCUUACUAGAAGAUCUUGGAUGAAUAUUUUAUAUAUAAAGUGAGUGGACACCACAUAGUGCAAAAGUGUCCUCACAAAACAGUUUUCUCUGACAGAUCAUGCAGGUGAAAAUAAUAAUUCAGAGUUCAUGGAUUAAAGUGUCACAGCUUUUUCAGGGAACAUUAGAGGAGGACCAUGACCAGUGCAGCAUUUCCAAAAUGUAUCUUGGAGGAUGCCCAGGUUCUUGAAUUGGUUAGUGAUAAUUGUUCCUCCAAGUAAUGACCAUAUAGCGAAACAUCUUUGGAAGACUGCAUUAGACAAAGGUCAAUGGGUUUUCUUUACCUUCACAUUUCUCAAACUGUUGACAUUCUCAGAUGUGUCUAUGCUUCCAGGAGAGGGGUACAGAAUGCCACGUUUCCUUAAGUUAUUUGACAGUUGAGUCCUUUCUCUCCCUAGAGCUUUUAUGAAGAUCCUGAGGAAAAGUGAUUUGUGGGUUACCCCACCAGGAACAUGUGUCCCUUGGAGCUGCAUAAGACAAGUUGUAAUGGCCAUUUACUGGAGAAAUUGGCCAGUUUACACAAACAAAGUGAGAGGAAGCCAAAUGAAACUGACUCUCCUCCAAGGGUCAGGAUUUCUCCUGUUUUUUGUUUUUGUUUUUGUUUUAGCUCAAGGGACCAAGGAUCCUGAGGUACAUUAGAAGGGGGUCCAUGAGGGCUGACCACUAGGGAACAGUGGGCAGGAGCAUGCCCAGGGAGGGUGGUAGGAGCCAAUGAGGCCAAGAGAUCAUGGGGAAGGGGUGCAGUGCUUUCUCUCCUAAUGGGCUCAGCCCCCACCAGUGAGAGUGCCAUUUGACAAUGAAAAGCAUUAAUAAGAAAUAGAUGGAGGGCAAUGCUGAAGUGCAGAUCAGGAAUAGCUCACACGGUGAUGCUCUUGCACUAGAAGCAAAAACUAUCCUGGGAUCUGAAGAAAUCACUUAAGAAGAGAAUGCUUUCUCUUCAGUGAGCCUCAGUAAAGCUGCACUAGGAGAAUUCUGCACAAUUGUUCCUACUCUAGCUUAGAAAAUGGAGUUGAUUAAGUGGAAGACAACUUUAAAAUGUGACAAAGAUGAUGAGGUGAUUAAGGGGUAGGAUUUAAGUGGCAAGAUGUGGAAAAAUUAAGAUGUGUGACUGAGUAGCAGUGACAGUGGGGUAUAUGAUAGCUGCCUAUAAAUACCCAAUUAAUUGCCUAAUGUGGCAAAUGAAAAGAAACAGGCUUCAACCACCAAAAAGGAAACUUGAUUUGGAGAAUAUUAGGGAAUUUGUAUUUAAUAGGAAGGGUGAUUUGACUGCCAUUAUACAGAAAAUCAGUUGAGUUAUUUGGGUAAAGAUUCAAGAUGAUACUUCACUUCCUUAUAAUAUCCUGGUGUCAACAAGAUAUUUUUCUUUGAAAAGGAUGUAUAUCAUUCUUAAUGUCUGUUCAGAGCAGAAAUUGAAGAAUAGAGGAAAAAUGUUUAAUUUGCUACAAGGUGUUGUGAUUGGUGAUAAUGCUCAGGGUUGCUUUAACCCUCCAGGUAUGUUUUCCCUUAGGCUGAAUUAUACCAAUAUCUUGGGUGAUAUGAAUCAUAGAAUAUCUAGACAUUGUGUUAUGCUGUAUAUGAAGCUACACCUUAUCACAUAAACCAUACCAAAGACAAUUAACAUAAGGGGCAUUUGACAAAACUACUUAACUCUUAGUGAGCUCAAUAAUGCACUAGGUGCUUUACAAAUAUAAUAUAUAAUAAUCACAUAAAUACUCUGAAAAAUGCAUUCGUAUCCCCAUUUUACAGAUGAGUAAACUGAUCCUUGGGGAAAUUAAAUAACCUGACGGAGAACUUGCACUUCAUUUUGAGUUACUUAAAAAAAAAAUCCAUGCCCUGUUACUGUGAUGCUAUACUGCCUCCUGAAGGCAUUUUUGAUCAUCAUUUUAUGAACUUCAGACCAAUGGCUUAGUAUGUAUGAAGCACUCCUGAGAAAAAACUCGUUUGCUUGUGUUUGAGCGUGGGGGAUCACUAAAGGCAUUACUCACACUUAACCCAGAUAACACUAUGGCAGGACAUCAGCCAGCCACUUUCCUCUAGCUGUACAGAUAGGCAAGGAUAGGAGAAAGGGCGGCUGGCUCCCAUCCCCUGAGCAUUUAUAGGGAGGAGAACUGCCAGAUCUAAAAAGCAGCAUCCAGAUUUGAUUAUAACUCCUCUUUGUGGGCUUUGAAGCUUUUUGUUAUUUCUUCCUUUGCCUCAUGGACUUCAGAUAUAUUUUCACAUAAACAGAAAUGAUUCCUCCUUUCUGAGCACUUCAUUUUUGGUGGCAUCAUGGAAUGUCCCAGGAAGGGGGGCAUGGGACCAAUUAUAAAGGAGAAAUUCCUCUUUGGCUUGCAUGUUUAUAUGAAAAUGCCAAAGCCAUCAGCUGCUGCGACAGCAGGCCCAGGGUGAGCCUUUUCCCCAACUGUCUUACAGCAACUACACAGCAGGGGGAGAUCACUCUAGUAGGCCUCAUUAGAAGAUGAUAAAUAAAAGAAAUUGUUCCUCCCGAAGUGUCAUCCUGCAUUCGUGACUUGUGCAAGAAGUUUAGGAAGUCUGCGCCUCUCUCUAUAUAUUUUAUUCUAGUAAGAAGUGCCCAAAUUAUAAGCAUGGAAAUGAUAACUCAAAUUCCAACCACUCUCUAUUAAAUGCCCUAUCUUGGCUUACUACUGAGGAAAUUUUCCUUGAAUAGAGAGAAUGUAGAUUGAAAAAAAAUUAAUUUCACAUUCGUAUUUAUGGGACAUUUGAGACAAACAGCCCAUCAGUGUUACUGUUACCUCAUUCGCCUUUUUUAGCCAUCAGCACUGGCUGCUUAUGUCUUUUACAUUCAUGGAACGCAUUUCAAAUCUGAGGAAUUCAGUUCCAUAGCAGGAUCUUAGCAGAGAUGAUAUAUAUCAUGUUGUUUGGCUAUCUUCUUAAUGCUUUCUUCUUUCUUGUGAAAAAAAAAUAUAUAAAUGGUGUAUUGAUGGAAAAACCAGAUCUGACAGGAAGGUUGAAAAAAUAAGUUACUUAAACAAUUCUUCUGGAACCAUUCAGGAGAGAAGGGUGGAGUAGAGUCUGAAACAAAACAAUACAGUGCUGAAGGUUAUAUUUUUUAAAUGAAACUUAAUUAGAGCUAUUUUUAAUAUAUCUGUCCUGUUAUCACUCCCAGUAGGGGUAACCUCCAUCCUAUUUGGCUUCUUUGCCACCUAGUGUACAAGGUGAGCUGUCAGUUUCCUAGAUGUGAGCAAGAUUAGAGCUGGUACUCAUACCCAGCUCUCCCAGGCAGAACACAGAAAGGUGUUCUUUCUGUGGUGUGGAAGCUUGUCUUUUUCUAUUAUUCCAAAUUCGGAGGUUCUUCAUGCUCAUGGUAUGAUGUGAUGUUUUCUAAUUUUCUUUGCCAGUGAAUAGUGAUAGACCCUAAGUCCUCAGAAACUAUAAGUGAAAAUGUAUUCCAUAUUUGGUGUUGUAGAUCCAACAAGACCCAACAACAGUUUUCAUUAGUUAACUUCCCUUCAUUAUUAGUAAAUUAUUUAUUUUUUUCAGAUCCAUUUCUCUGAAUCUUUAAUUAUGAAACUUUCUGAUAAGACAAGUACAAAGAGCUAUUAUUUAAAUAUAUUUGGUUACGAAUCAGAUUAGAACUACAGAAACUCCAAACCAGAGGCUGUUGUUCCAGGGAAAUCUUCUGACAACAUGGCCUCUUCCUGUACUUUUCUGGAAUAUCAAGCAUCACCCUCUAAGUUUUCAGCCUUGUAUUUUCUUUGGAAUGUUCUUCUUUACCCUUCUUAAAUACUUCACAUAUACAAAAGGAAAUGUCAACAUUUAACCUUUAGUAUGAGUUGGGAAAAGGGAAAAGUUUAUUUCAAUGCUCUUCUAUUUAAACACAAUGGAACUCUGUUAUGAUAUAACAUUUUAUUCUUGCAUUCCAAUAUAAUAUGUUUGAACUAUGAACACCCAAAAGCGUAGAAAAAGUGAUGCCAUUAUAAUCCAUAUACAAAUCCUGGUGUCAAUCCUGGUAUUAUAACAAAAUUCAACCUUAUAUCUUCAUAUGUGGGUAUGCUGGUUGUGAUUUUUCUCCCCCAAAUCUAAAUCCCUGCAAUGUCAAUUUACUUUUUUUUCCCUAAUAGAAAACAAAAAUCUCAGCAUGUUAGUAAGAAUAAAAUCUCUGAAAGAAAUUUUGUUCCCUGCAGCAUUGUAUCAGAGAACAUAUAAAGAACUGAUGGAUAAAUGGACAAUAAGCCAGUUUUAGACUUUAACAGACACACAUAUUUUAAAAAUUUUUUUAAAAAUAGUUUUUAGUUGUAGUUGAAUACAAUACCUUCAUUUAUUUAUUUAUUUUUAUAUGGUGAUGAGGAUCAAACACAACGCCUCACACAUACUAUGCGAGAGCUCUAUCACUGAGCUACAACCCCAGCACAGACACACAUAUUUUUAAUAUAAGCUGCCCAAUCUCCUGGCUUAUAUAUGCAAUUUGAGAUGUAUGUGUAUUUAAUGUGAUCUCAAAUAUUUUGUGUUAUACAAAUGUAGGUUAUCGAUGUGAUUCUGUAUGUGUAUUUACUUUGUGCCCAGGGAAACAAUGAUGUCAGAUCGAAGUCAGGAACUUAGCAUGGAUUCUAGUUUUCAUAUAUACACUAUGACACUAAGAGAAGACCUUUGUUUUGUGAUGAUGAUAUAAUAACAGCAAUAUCUCCACAUCUAAACUAAGGAAAGUUUGGGUAUGUAUUUACUUAUUAGGUGCUUUUUAAGCACCUUUAUAUCUUUAAAUCUGUAUUUCACAAAGAAAGAGACAAGUUGACCUAAACCACAACACUAAAAACAAGUUGACUCAUAGGAAUUGACCUCCAAAUUUAAAAAAUAAGUAAACAAAUAACUACUAAAAACAGUGACAACAUAGGUGGUCCCUUUAUAGACAUAAAAAGCAUAUUUUUCAUUUUUAUGCUUAAAAUAUCCUCUUAUAGCUAUGCCUAUAAAAUGCAAAUCAAAUCAUAUGAUAUGAUUUAUGGUAUAUCCAAGGGUUGUCAUUCAAAAACUAUUCUAUUGAGGCACUUUUCAAAGUGUCAUUGGUCCAAAGAAUCUCUUAGGGGACCCUGAGUCUUAUAUCAGACUAUGGAGGAGAGCAGCAGGGUUGGUAACCCCAGCAGGUUGGAGCAGCGCAUAGAUGUGAGAGCUGCAUGACCCACUUUGUGGGUCCAAGGAACAGCAGUGGACAGCUUACAUAUGGUCAUUGGAAAGAUACUGAUUCAAGGGAUGUGGGGGGAGUCACAGUAACUGGUAAAUAUGGUACCAGAAAACCUAGCAAGAGAUAAAAAAAAAUGUACUGAUGGUGCACUAAGCACACAGACACUGUAGGUUUAAGGAAUGUCAUAGAAUCCUAGCAAAUAGAACUGCUGCAGAAUUCUGUUAAAUCCUUCUGUAUAGCAAGUUUUGGUCAUAGAGCUUGUCUUCCAAAGAAGAAGCCAGUUCCUAACAUAAGGAAAAAAUAGAAAAGGCAAAAAUGAGAUAUAAUCAUUGAUUUCUCCAAAUACUGAAAGGACAAGGCUACUAGAAUAAUUUCAAAGGCAGAACUGAAGCCAAGGGAAUAAGGCAGAACCUACUUUUCAAAACUUGAACAAAAUGUAGGAAUUUGUUUUAGGCAAGUUUGAGCUAGCUCCACAACUGGAUUGAGGCCCAUUGUGAGUCACCUGAGCUUGGACCAAGAGCUCUUCACACCCCUCAGGAUCCCAGGCUCUGUGGAACCAGAGGAGGGUGAAAACCCAAGCAGAACAUCACCACCCAGAGAAGGUUACACCUUAAGUCCUGGGUUUCUUCUACUCAGCUCAGCAGGAGAGAUUCCACAGGCAGGGCCUUAAGCUCCUUAGUUACCCAUUUCUCAGAACUUUGCACAGCUUUAAUAGAAGAGGGUUUACAACAGCAGUCUGUAGGAAACCUAGGCUGUUUCCUGUGUCCUGAAAAACUUUCCAGGAGUCUUCUGGAGUCCUCAAUGGCACCAUGGACUCCUCUCCAUGAAGGACAUAAGAGUGAUGCUUCACCUUCCCUAGGACACUGCAGAAGUCUCCUCUUGCCCAGGGAGCAAGGUCACCCAGAACACUGUUCACUCCAGUUAAUAUCAACAACCAUUAAAUAUUUUAAAUAGCCCACAGACCCAGCCUGUCUUUCUAUCAUUGUUUCUAGAAAACUAUGUUCAAUAUGGCUAAGACCAAAUGUUGUUUUUAAAAAGAAUAUUUGCUAUGAAGACCAGGCUGGAUACCAAAAAUGGGACCAAAUAGCCACUUCAUUUCCUUUCAAAUAAUUUUGUCUUUACUAUGUUGCAAUUCAAAUAUCUUCAAUGCUGCUUGUGACACACUUAUAAAACACUUAAAUAUUUAUAGUUUUCAAUUCCUUUUUCUAUUUUAACACCUAAACAGGCAUGCAAAGGAAUAUGAGUAGUCUGUACUAUCAAAUUAUUGGAAACCAUAUUCUGUAAUAUGUAUUACAAAUUGUUCUUCUUCUUCCCCUCUUCCUCCACCCCCACCUCCUCCUUUUUCUUCUAACUGGGGAUUGGCCUUGUGCAUGCUGCACAAAUGCCCUACCACUGAGCCAAUUUACCAUCCAACAAAUUGUUCUUUAAGGAGAGAAUGGCCUACAAAUUUGCAGAAUGAGGCACCUUGAACUUAUAUCCUGAACUGGGCAUGUUUAUUAAAAUUUUGUAUAUGAUGUUUAACUUAGGGAUAUUCCUUCAGAGGACAGACCUAGGAAUAAUAGAUGCUACAGGAAAGGGAAUUAAGUUAAAUGUUGUAAAGGCAACUUUCGUAGAUGUGGAGAAGUAAAGAAAAAGGAAGGGAGCAGUGUUGAUCUCCCUGGCAUGAUAGUGAACAUAAGAGCAAAAGUAGAGAGCGAAUGUGCUUAGCAGGAAUUUUACACAUAUUUAAGUGGAGAAUAGGGAGUUGACUUAAGUGACUUUAAAAGUGACUAAGAUUGAAUCAAAAUUCAAAUGUCUCAUUUACUGAUCUGGGAUAUUUUUUACCCGAUUCUUUGCUAUGGUCCAAAUAUGUCAAUGUCCUAAUCCCUAGAAUGUGUGACUAUUAACAUAUAUGACAGAAAGGAUUUUGCAGACUCUUAAGUGAUUCUUAAGAGAAAUCAAGAAUAUUGAGUUAAGGAGAUUAUCCUGGAUUAUCUGGAGGGCCUGAUAAAUUACUAUAGUUUUAUAAGAGGGAAACAAAAGGUUUCAGAGUCAGAGGAGAAGGUGGCAUGAUAAUGGAAGCAGAGAUUGGAGUAAUGUAUUUUGAAGAUGGACGAAGGAACCAUGAGCCAAGGAAAGCAGGUGACUACUAGGAAUUGAAAAUGGCAAGCAAGUGGGGAUCUCUAGAGCUUCCCAUAGGAAUGCCACUCUGCCAACAUGUUCAAAAUUCCAAUCUCCACAAUUCAAAGGAAAUACACAUGUGUUGUUUUGAGCCAUCAACUUUGUGAUAUUCCAUUCAGCAACAACAGAAAACUAAUACUCUGCCUUUCUUUAAAUAUGGUCUGAAAUUUUAUGUGAGCCCUGAACAAGGCAGCCAAGGCCAAAAGUGUGCACAUGAAUGAAGGAAGUUUCUGAAUUUCACUUCCCUUUCCCAAUAUCAGUUGUCGAUUCUUGAACUGAGCAUAUGUCACUCUUUUCUUAUGAAGUUACUUCUUAUUUAUUCACAUACAUGGGCUAUGACUUUAAUGCAUUUAUAUUUUAAACGCAGUUUUCUUCACAUGCACAAGCCCUGUCAUGAUCAAACUUGUAUUUCCCCAUCUGCUUCUCCCUUUAACCCCUGUCAUGCUGUUUCCUGAAAGCACCAUGCUAUAUUGUCUCUGUUGUUUUGUAUGUAUUGUUUCCUCUGUAGUUAGGGAUUUUUAUUUUAUGUUUUGACCAGAUAACUUCAACUUAGCUGCAUCAGGAUUAUGUUUAGCUAUAAUAGAGACUCCUAAAUAAUACAUUAUUAAAUAGAAAGAAGAUAAUCCUCUUUCCCAGUACAAUCUGGAGAACCCCAUUUCCUGAGGACCCUAGCACUGGUAUGGCAUUUCCGCUUUGGGGUGUCCUUGGAAAAUCAGAUUCCUUCUAGUUGAUUGCUCUGCUGGAGAUGGUUCUUGUCUUAAUAGUACUAGAUGACACUUAGAUUUAUGGCCAUCAUAUCUAUCUUCCAGGCCUAGGGUUAGAGGAAAAUGCAAAGAGGAAAAGAAAGAUCACACCCUAGUUAUCUUUUGAGGACAGUCCCUGGAAGCUGACAAGUUCUACUCACAUAUAUUAACAAGCACUUAGUCAUUAGGAAAGAGGCUGACAAGAGUCUUUUUUAAAAUUUUGGGGAUGGUAGUGGCAUUUGCUUUACUGAAAAGCAGAUGCUCUAUAGCUGUGGAAGAAGAGAAACCAUAUUAAUGGACAACAUACUGCAUCUCUCACAACAUCAUGUAAGACUCAGCUAGUAUGUUUCUUACUCUGAGAAGACUUUUCUAAUCCCCAAGUGCAUUGGUUCUUUCUUCUCUUUGUUUCCCAAAUGACCUGUGAAUACUAACCUUACUUUGAGAACAAAUUGCUGACUGGACUGUGAGCUAUUUGAGGCAGGAGCUCUAUUGUUAUCACUGUAUUGCCUAACACAGUAGCUACUACAUGAAUGAAUAUUUCUAUUAAAUGAAUGAAUAAAUUAACUCUGAAAAGAUUUCAGAUACCAGUGCCUAGAAAAUUUUGAAAUUUAAGCAGAUAUUUUAACUUAAAAUGUAGUAUAUUUUCUGUUCUUAAAAUAAUUUUGUAGCAAUUCCUAGGAAACUAUGAGUGUGUGCAAAUAUACAGAAAAAAGUAACUGUGUUGUAUUUUAUGUUUCAAAAAGUUGAUAUUUUACUCAUAGAAAGACAUAUUUCCACCUCCACUUUCUCUGUGAAAAAAAAUUUAGAAAGGUGUAAUGAAAGGAAAUUUGUGUUAAUUUAACCUAUUACAAUGCAACAAUCUAUAUCAAUUCAACCAAAUUAGGUAAAUAACUGUAAUACUAUAAAAUAGACUAAUAGUCAUAAUAAAUCAUAAAAAUCUAUUGUGUAGCAAAAGACUCCAUUUCUUUUCUGGCAUUUCCCCCAACAUCCCCUCUGUAAUGUAUUUUAACAGUGCCCUAAGUUUAUCAAUGUGGUUUAGAAAAAUCCUUAAUCUUAUAGCACUUUCAGUUCAAGCAACUAAUUUUGCCUUAGCAAAAAAAAAAUAUGAUUAGAUAGAGGCCUAUAAGUGUAAUUGUUAUUCAUAUUAUUUUAUGUAUAUAGGUCUUCCAUGUUUCUUAAAUAUACUCUUUUGAAAUUUAAUAUAUUUGUUAUCUAAUGAAUAAAUAAAAUGGAAUUGAAAGGAAAUACAAGACAUGAUACUUGUUCUUAACUUGGAAUUCAACAGGGAAGAGAUUAUAUUAAAACUAGUGGUGUUAGGGCAACUUUUAAUUGAGGUUAACUAAGCAGAUGAGUGAAUGAGCAUGUGAAUUAGGGAGACUACUUCUUCAGGGUAUUGUAUGGAUAUUUUCAUGGAUCAACUUUAGUAUUUUUCCAGAUCCUCUACUUCUAUAAAUUAACAGUAUUUUCAUCUUGCUCCUUAAACUAGGGUGGCCACAUGUUCAGUUUGCCUGGGACUCAUUUAGUCCAUGCCUGUGGUUCAAGCAAAAUUAUUGCCAGUUCUCCCUUUUACUCCCCAAAGGAAGCAGUCAUCUGAUAGCCUGCUCCUCUCUCCAUAACCAAAUUUACUUUCCCUCACUUCUCCCUUCUUUCUCCCUUUUCACACCAAAAGCACAUGGGAGGAGGAAAAAUAGUAGCAUUCUGGAAAGCUCUGUUUCUGGCUUUGGUUCCUAUAUUCCUGUUACCACCUGUUGAAAAUCAGCCCAUGCUCAAGUGUUGUAGAUUGCUUCAAGUUCCUGUGGUUUGCAGAUAAAAGCUUCUAUUUUUUGGAGGACAACAUGUUUUUGGUUUAAAAAAAUAAUAUAUUUCCAUGUUUGAGCUCAUGAGCAUUUCUUUAAAUUACUAGGGGAUCAUCCUGUAUCCAUCAUAAUAGAUGAUAGAUCAACAGAGCUUAUCCUUCUAAGUGCUAAUCCUUUUGAAAUAUUUUCCUUUUUCAGUGGAACUCUUUAUAAAAUGACUUUAUAAAAUACCUUCCUUAUUCUCUUAAUUAAUGUAGAUUCAAGAAAGUGAAAACUUUUCUGCUUGUAUAAUUAGGAAUGUUACUUAUUUUAUUUUCAUAAUAAAUGAUGUCCUUAUGAACUAGAGAGGCACAUGAGGUUUUGUUCUUUUUCUAUAAUUUUUUGAAUUACUGUCUUUUUAAAUAUCACAUUGCCUUGCGUAUUAACUCUUUUAGUCCCUUUUUCUCCAUAGAUUCAUUUCUUCUAAUCCACUGUUGGCUCAAAAACAAUUACCAGUAUAGUGAUUAGAAUUGUUAAUAAAAAUCAAGGUACAAUUGCUCUAAAUGACUAGCUGCUCUCUGAUGGGGGAAAAUCCAUGGGAUUUUAUGACAUCACUCUGCCUGUAGAGAUUUUUUUCUUUUCUGUCUGCUUUUUGUCUGUGUUCCAAGUAGUUGAGUUUAUAGAAUAGUUGACCUCUAGAUAAGUGAAAUGUUUUUGUAAUUCCAUUUGAAAAUUAGUGUGGAAAAUUAAGGUUUGCACCCCCGUGGAGAAAGUUGAGGUCAAGUAAUUCAUUCCCUAAGCUGUGCAGUCAUAAAGAUUCCCAUACCGGCCUCAGAACUAGUAUGAACCAAUCAAAUUGCUCCCAGGGGGGUGCUCACUUCCUAGGUCAAGUCUUAGCACUCCACAUAGCCAUUUUAGCCUUCCAAAUAUUUGCUUGGUGAAUUGACAGAGAAACAGGAAAUCAGAGUGAAAAUCGAUGUUAUAAAUCUGUUUUGUACAGAAAUGCAUUGAACAACUUUUAGUGAGGGCAAAUAUACUACACUGGGUUUUAGAAUACUGCAAUAUUCCCUAAUUUAUCUGGGAACAUAAAUCUUUCUUUUGUUACACUUCUUUCUUUCCCUAAUUUAAGAUUCACCCAAGAUUGUGUAAGGCUUGUGAUUAUUUCAGAGUUUUAGAAGAAAAUCUUCCUUCCUUUUUACAAAGAGUAAUCACAAUUCCUUUAAGAAUCACAAGGAAGAUAAGCAAUUUUAUAAAGCAGUUCAAUUCAUCUGGUGAAAGCCCCAAGGUUAUUAUUGCCAAAAGAAUGCCUUCCUAAGUAGCAGGUAAAACUCAAACUCAAAUAUUUGCUCUAAUUGUUCAAUAAAUAUAGUAAAAUAUACAUAGCUUUUGUUUUACUUUUAGGAAUAGAUGUUAUUAUUUAGCCCUGAAAAGUUCCCAGAUGCCUGGGUCCCAGUACAUUGUCAUUUGCUUAUUAUUCAUUGUGAAGAUGGGAGAUGGCUAAGUGUGUGGACUUUUGCUAUGCUUAAGUAAAACCUAUAGACUAAGGACAUUGUGUUUUAUUGGAAUGUAAUUACAUUUCCAAACAGAAUUAUUUCUGUGUUGAUGACACUUGUACACAGAUUAGAAAGUCUUGAAAAGACUUUUUGGAUUUGAUUAUAUGUUGACUUUUCCCUCAAAUUUCAUAUUUUCAAUCUACCCUAAACACUGCAACUAUAAAAUAUAAUGACUGAGGCAGUUGGACAAAAAACAAACAAACGAACAACAAAAAUCCCCACAAAUGUAUCCUGAACAUUAAGAAAUAAUGGGUCUUGAGUUUUUAUGGCCAUUAGUGAAGUCCCAUUAGUGAUGAUUUUGUUGGCCAAGAAAAGGAAAAAACUUAAAUAAUUCACAUCUUUGUAAUUAUGAAACACUAAUGGUAGAAAAUACUACAUGAGACAAAAUGCUUGUUACUGGGAAAGGUAUAUUCAAAGCAGCUUUAAAUAUUUGUUUUUGGAGACUGCUUACUAGACUGUGGAAUUUCCACUGUGGUAUUAUUGUUUUAUUUUGUUCUGCACAGAAGGUAAACAAAAACAAAAGGAAAAGAAUUCAUACCAGAGCCCCAAGAGUUGUCUGAACAUCUCUGAAGGUUUUGAAAAAAUCAUCUGUUUUACCAUGUUUUACCAUGUUUUACUAUACUAGAAUAAGGUGGUCUUACAGGCCAACACAGGCUGAUGAACUCUGCUCUAAAUGGGUGGGGUGUCCUCCAUCCAUUUACAUGCCAUGUCUUACAAAUAAGUGCAUUUUAUUUCUGGUCUCAGCCACUGACUUGUACAUGUGGUCUCAGGCACGAUGUGGAGUCUCUUAUUGGAAAAGCACUUUUCCAUAAGCACUCUCAGUUAACACUAUUAAGAGGUAGAUCUGUAACUUAAAGUUAAUAUGCACGAGUGCUCUCUCUCAUAUGCUGUAUCAAUUGCCUAACAUGUGCUUUUAAAAAUAAUCUUCUAUCUUGCCAGGUGUGUACUUUUUUCUCUGUUCUACAGAUCAGAAAAUCAAAGUUUAGAAUGAUUAAGGACAUAGUUGAGGUCACACAACUGUCAGAAGGCAGGGAUAGUGUUCCAACUGAUGGGAGUCUGAUUUUAAAGUAAUUGCAACGAGUGACUCUUCAGCUUUGCUUCUCCAUGGGAGAGAAUCUUGCCUGGUUUUAAGUGGCCAUACUUUAUGCCUUUUAGAGGGCAAGCCCAAGAUAUUAAACUGUCUCUGGCUUAAGUGUAAAGUGAGUGGAUUAAUUCUGCACUUUAUCUCCUUCCAUGAAAGCAUAAAUAAAUCAGUACAGGUGCAAUCUUCCAAAUUCACUUAAAGAAGCAGCAACAUAAAAUCAGGUCAGCAUACUAUGUAAGAGGGAGGAGCUCCAUGCAUCUUUUGAUAAUAUAUAAGUCUUUCAGAAUGGUUCAGCUGCUGGAAUUGUUACUUUCUUUCUUUUCCUGUUUCCAAAGUUUCUGUUCUAAAGAAUGUAUUCUGUUAUGUUUUCCUUCAAUGUCUAUAUCUCCUGACCUCUCACCUGACCUUUCACUUUAUACACCUUUGCCAAACUCCAGCAGAGCCAUAUUGCAGUUUGCAGUGAGUUUGCUGUGAGGUGGCCAGUGCUGCCCCUUCCUUCCACUGUGAAAGUCCCCCAGGGGAUCUACCAGGAAUAAAACAAAUCAACUCUUUUAUGCUUAUUUAAAAAUAUAUUUUAAUUGACAAAUAAUAACUGUACAAAUAAUUGAUGGGGUACAAUGUGAUAUUUGAAUACAUGCUACCAUGUGAUAUUUGAAUACAUGCAUUUGAUCAAAUUAGGAUAAUUAGUAUAUCCAUCAACUCUUUUAUUUGGCAAGCCCAGAAUCGUCUGUUGAUUCAUGUUGGGGUCUUUGAAUCAGUGUUUCCUUGCUACCCUAUCUCAGUUUCCCAAAAUAAGGAAAAACAAAAGUAUAUAAGUCCUGCAGUGAGAUUCCAGCCUUAUUUAGGUUGAAACAACUUUUGAGGUGUUUCUUUAGAAUUCAAGCCCAGUUUGGUUAUAUCAUCACUUUCAUUCACUUUAAUGGUUAUCUGUCUUUGAUGGACAUACGGUCCUUUCACCUCAUUGUAGAAAACCCUGUUUCCUGGUUUUGAGUUUUCAUAUUCUUUUAAAGUUUUUGGGUUUUUUUUUUGUUUAUAGAUAUUCAUUACUUGAUCUUACUGUUUUGGAACCUAGAGAUUAUAAGUUUAAUAUUGGUUUUAUUUUUUCUAUGUUAAUUCAGUUUAAAUGUCAGUGUUCUAUCUAAAAGGGAUACUUGAAGCUGAAUCACUUUGUGCUCGGCUGAAACAUAUAGUUUCUAAAUUAAACACUUUCUUACAAGUUAAAGGCAAAUUACAGCUGGUUAGUGCCUAGCAUUCUGUCUCUUUUUUUUCCUGCUCUGCCAGCAACAGACAUUGCUAAUCAAUUGGAGGCUCUUUCCCACCAAUCAUAGACACCACUUAACCAUACAGAAUGCUUCUUGGUACAAAAUUCUAACUAUUAAUGGAAUUAGGGUACAUGAUGAAAUCCAUUUGCCACCCAAGGAACAAAUGCCUCAUAUAAUCAGCACCAAGAAAAAAAUAUUGAUGUUUUUCUCCUCAGGGAGCACUUUGAAAACUUAAUGAAAAGAUACUUUGCAAUAAAAUGGAGAAUGGAGAAGGCUCUAACAUUCUUAGAAAGCUCUAUAAUGGUGUAAUGGGAUCUUAUCCAUGAAAAGCAUUUUAUUUAUUAAAUAAAGUUUUGAAUUAAAAAAAUCCCAUUAGCAGGACCAAGGAUGGCAGAUAAUUUUCUUUUAUAUAGAUAGCUUCUUACCAUACUUUAUAUGAGGAGGUUGUUCAGAUUCAAGUUUACUAAACAUUGACAGAAUAUAACUCAUAUUUUUCUGCAUGGACCCCAAUAUUAAUUUCCAGGGCUGAUUCCUACUUCCUUUUUUUGUCCUUAGAUUGAACUAAAAGCCACAUUAUGAAAAUACACAUCAGAUAGGACACUCAUCUUCUCCAGGAGCAUCAGGAUAAAUUAAAUCAUAAACACAUUCGUAUUGUGUUAGUAAAAGAUACUAGAUCCUAAUUUAUGUUUCCAUGGUAGAAUUUUUUUAACCAGUUCAACCUUUUUUCUCUUUCUUUCUUUCUUUCUUUCUUUCUUUCUUUCUUUCUUUCUUUCUUUCUUUCUUUCUUUCUUUUUCUUUUUUUUUCCAGUGCUUAGGAUUGAACCCAGGGCUUUGAGUGACUCAGGCAAGCUCUCCUUAGCACUGGGCUAUACUCCCAGCCCUUUGUUUUAAUUCAAAUGUGAAGGGUAUUAAAUUUAGGUGAUACUUCAUAUUAAUUGGGAGGAAGAUGACCAAAUUGCUUGAAAUACUGCAGUGUAUCAGGAGCUACACUAGGGGACACCCUCUUCUAUGAGGCCUGACAUUGCUGUGGGUUUGGGGAAAGCUGGAUCUGCCUGGGUCUGGACAACGCAAUGAUUGGACUACUCUAGUGGGUCUUUAAUCAUUUCCUCAGGGGCCUUUGUUCUUCUCAAAGCUUUCUUGGUUACAAGAAACAGACAUGCACUCAAGUUGCCUCACGUGAAGGAGGAUUUAUUGAAAGUUUGUGCAUGGGAGAAGCUGAAUGACCAGCCUUAGCAAGAGCAGGGCCCGAGCUACACUGCCUUUUCACCUCUGUCUCUGAAUCCUGUGUUCCUGUCUCACUCUUCUCUUUCUUUCCCAGCUGGCUUCCUCUGCAUUUCAUAGUCACUCUCCUCUCAUAAAUCCAGCAUGUGCAUUGCCCAUAAUGGCCACUCAGCUCCACCUACCACCACCUUUGUGCCACAGUGGCCACAGUUAAUAGCUCAGGGGCUUGGCUUCCCAGUUCUCUAUUCCACAGAAAGGUGUUGGGCACAAUUUAUCAUUCCAAGAGAACACAUUGAUCCUAAAAUCACAUAGACAGAAGUGCAAGGAAUAGCAGCAUAGUCAAAACCCUAUUGGUUAAUCAGCUGUGGCCAGAGGUCAUAGAAUCAGAUUAUCCUAACUUCCUUCUACAGCACUCUUGGAGAUGUGAGAAUAUGAUCACCAGGUAUGAGAUUAGAAUCAUAAGACAAUUGUUGACUUACCUGGAGAGUAUAACAGCAUGGUAGCCAUUCCCAAAGCUGGCUCCAGAAAUCUGACACCUGUGAUCCCAAUGACUUGGGAGAUUCAGGCAGGAGAAUUGCUCAUUUUCCUCCAGUCUCAGCAACUUAGCUAGGCCCUUGCUUCAAAAUGAAUAUGGCUGGCCAAGUAUCUAGUUCAGUGGUAGAGCACCCCUGGGUUCAAUCCCCAGUAUUACCCCCUUACAAAAUAAUGUUAAUUUGAAAAGAACAUUUAGCUAUGACAUUUAGCCCAUUUAAAAUUUACAUCUAUCUUUUUAUUUUUUUUCCUGCAAGUGAUAGAAUUAUUUCAGAGGCACCCAUUUCUUUCCUGUAGUUAUUUCCAUUGGCUUAUUUCAUAAUUCAAUGAUCUGGGAAUGCUGUCUGACACCUAAAGGUAACUCUACAAAAAAGGGCGCAUUACAUUCUGCUCUUCACUAUGGAAAUGAUCAGAUAAUAAAAUGGAUCAUAGGCUUGGAGGCUGAGGAAGUUGGGCUUAUAUUCUGUAACUGCUUGAUAUAAAACUUAUACCAUUCUUCCCCUGACAUUUCUAAUUAAUGGAAUGUGGCGUUAAUUAGUAACUUGGGAUCAGACCUGAGAGCCUUGAAGUUGAAUUUUGUGUAGAAACAUAUUUCUGUGGUAGGUAAGACAAACCCAGAGUUUUUUGGAUGAGAAGGAGAUUUUCCACUCCAUUGUUAUUUUCUGUAUGGCUUUUACUGAGUACAAAUCAAGCCAAUAUUACAGUUCAUUUAUCCAGCCCUUUCAGCUCUCUUCCAGGCAUCUCAGGAAUGUUAGAAUGGACAUUGACUAAAAUACCCAGCCUUGAGUGGAGGAGGUAGGUACCACUGUAAGCAGAGAAGUUGGGGAAACAGAUCAGGCAGGAAAGCUCAGAGGUGUGAGAUCCUGCGCUGGGUAGAGCUUGUUCUGGCUCUAUGGAUAUCAUUGCCCUUGAAAAAUUCUCCCAGUUUCUUUCCAGGCCUCAGUUUCCUCACCUGCAAAAUAGGAAUCAAUGCCCCUGUCUCUAAGGAGCGUUGGGAAGUUUGCUUAUUAAUGAUGCUAAGAAUGCUUGGAACGCAUAAAUAUUUCUUAAGAAGAGCUGGUAUCUUUCCUCUCCCUAUAAGAUUGGAGGAAAUAUGCAACAUCUCUUCUGUUCAUCUGUAAUUUAGUCAGCUUGUGUACAUACUGCAUUGCAUUAAACGCUGAACUCUGAUCCUAGUGUUUAAACAUAUUAAAUACAAAAUAUGAGUAGUAUAAAUUGUAUGAAACACUUUUGUCUCCUACUUGGAGGCCUAACAAUGCAGGGUCACCACAAACAUUAUACAGACACUGCAAAGAGUAAGUGGAAGUCUUUCAGACAGUGACUGGAAAAUAGUCUUACAGCAAAAGUAGUAGAAGUCCAGCACUGGGGAAUUUAUAAGUAAUCCAAAGAAAACUGAGGGUGGGCAAGGGCUAGUGAAAUUUGUUUAUUUUAUUUGCACAUUAACUUUUAUAAUACUCUUCCUCUAAAGAACACAAAAAAGGCUUCACAGAUAACAAACUCUAUCUUUUAAACUUCUCAUUCCCACAACAGCCUUGCUGGGGUUCGCUGCCAUAAGAAAACAUCACCUAUUUCCUCUUUAGAAAAAUAAGGUUUCAGGAUAAAAGCGUUUUCCAUUAUGGUUUGGGGAGAAAGGACAUCACCAUAGGUCUUUUAUCAGAGAUCAUGGUUCAAGCCUUCCAGUAAUAAAAACAGAACAAAUUUCACUUGGAAGGUGUGCAGAGAAGCACAGUGCCUUAGGAGGACUGUGUGAAGAUAACUUGGGUGCCUGUCCGUCACCCAACUCUAAUGGUUUUCUUUAUUUCAGGAUCUUCAAAUUAUGGAUUUUUUUUCCUUUUUUCAUAUUGUUGGGUUUUUUUUUUUUUUAUUUGACCACUAACUUGUAGCCUUGGCAUCUCUGCAAUUGUAUUUCUCCAAAUGCACAGUGGAUAUGAAUCAAGCCAUAGGUGAAUGUCUGUGUCCUAAGAGACAUUCAGCGCUUUGUAAACUUUUCCUUGGUAUAUCACACCAUUAUUUUCUGUUUUGUCUUGGACUGUAUUUUUUUUUCUUUUAUUUUACUAUAAUACUCUGAGCUCUUUAAUAUUUUCCCUUGGGGCAAAUUUCAAGAAGAAAAGAAACUCUCUGUGAAUAGUGGUUAAAAAUUGUUGACAAGGAAAGUUGAAGAUAACCAUGUUUUGUUUCACUUUUCAAAAACUGUAUGUGGACAUAGAAGAACCUCAGCAGUUACACAUAUCGGUAGAUCCCUCUGUCCUCUGAAAAGAAGGGAGAGAUUUAUGGAAUCCACAGGGGCGAGGGCCACAUAACCCAGUUUGAGCUUACAAGGCACUAGCUCCUUAAUGCCAAGUAAAUUUUGGAAAUGAUUCUCCUUUGCUGACAGUACCCUCAUUACUGAUUGUGUAGAGUAAUUUAUCAGGCAUUUCUUAAAAUAAACCGUUCAUUUAUACUAAUAGGACUUGGCAGGAAGAAAAAAUUGGCAGGACUUGGAGUUCCUAGUGUGGGUUUUUUUUCUUUUCUUUUCUUUUUUUUUUUUUUCAAUUUUGUUGCCUUUAAAAAAUCUAAAACACUGACUUUUCAAAGUUUCAAACACUUUGAGGAAAUAGGUUUUAGGGGCCAGCUUGAAGUUCAUGAAAUUGUAAAGAAUGGCAUUAAAAGUUUUCAAACUGGAAGAAAGGAAAUAAUUCUAAAAAUGAAGUUCACCAGACAGAAAAUAAGUACAAUGUUACCAAUUUUAUCUUUUCACAUUCUUUAGGCAUUGGGCUCCUUGAUAAUUUUGUUACCUACUUUUGGCAUUGCAUGGGUUGGGCUCACUUCACUUCUCUUCCAUGUUUGAUUCUAUGCUCCUUCUCCUUGAAGUUUGUAUCAGCUAGCUGUUUCUCUUUAGUUAUGCACAUAAUGUAUCACAGUUGUUUAUAUAGACCCAAGAGAGUUAUUCUCAAGGCUUUCUUAUUAUCUUUGUAUUCUUAGCCUUGGGCUCUGACAAUUAAUUUCCAUCUUACGUUUCCUUGGAAUUAAAAGGAUCUUACUAAAAUUGAUAACACUUUCUCCCAUAUAAAAUAAUAGUUAUGGAAAUCAUAAUAAAACAUAAGCUAAAAUUGAAUCUUUAGGCUCUGGAAAAAUACAUCAGUUCUCCACCAGCACUGGGGAUAUGGAAGGCCAGGGAGCUAAAUUCUGACACAAUGAUCAAGUGUACAACUGUACAUAGGUAUGUUUAUGUGCAUAUGUAUAUGUAUAUAAUAUGUAUACAUACAUACACAUUUGUUAUGUGUCUAUUUUUAAUAAUAAUGAAGUUGUAUGAGUUAUAGCAUCUGUUGAGACUCAGACAUAAGAAUAGGUUAUGUGAGGGGCUGGGGUUGUGGCUCAGUGGUAGAGCACUUGCCUAGCAUCUGUGAGGUGCUGGGUUCAAUUCUUCAAUUCUCAGCACCACAUAUAAACAAACAAACAAAUAAAGAUCCAUCAAUAACUAAUAAAAAUAUUUUUAAAAAAUAGGUUGUGAUACUGCAGACCAAAGCAGAAAUAAUGUUCUCUGGGAAUAAAUGAAACUCUUCAAAAGUUCAGGGCUCUACUGGUGGUUAAAUCCUACUAAAAAGGGUAACAUGCACUACAUCAAACUGAUAGUUCUGGGCUGGAAAGUGGUUUUACACUAUUGAAUUGCUGAUUCCGCUUGCUUCUUAGGAGCUUCCAUAGCUGACAUUUUAACAUCAAAUGAUAGUUAUCUCUUUUGUUUCAAUCCUCUUUUUGAUCAGGAUCUUAGAGCUUGUUAUUUUGAUAAAAUUAAGUUUAGAUUGCUUUAUAAUUUUCAAGCUUUUUCAUACCUGAUAUUAUAAAGUUUACGAUUACCAAAAAUGCCAAGCUGUUGAAUAUAUCUACAUAUUAAUAAUUAUUAUGAUGUUAAAUAAUAAUUCUGGGUAGUAAGACUGGGUAAUUUUUCCUUUUUUGUUUUUCUUUAUUUUUUUCUGACAAUUUACAAUAUUAUCUUAAUAUUUUAAAGUGUUCAGUCCCCAGCAUUGCCAAACAAAUAAAACAAGUUUUAAAAUGUUUUCAGAAAAAAAGGAAAAAGAAGAAUACCUUAUUUAUUUAUUUAUUUAUUUAUUUUUGGUCCUGGGAAUUGAACUCUGGAGCAUUCAACCACUGAACCACAUUCCCAGCCUUAUUUUGUAUUUUAUUUAGAGACAGGGUCUCACUUCCUUAGUGCCUUGCUUUUGCUGAGGCUGAACUCUUGAUCCUCCUGCUCAGCCUCUGGAGCCACUGGGAUUAAAGGCAUGUGCCACUGCACCCAGCAGAAUAUUUUUAAAGAUACAGUUAUAAAGAGAUACAGUUAUAGAGAAUUAUAAAGGUUUUUCUUAGAAAGUUUAAGGUAUACAUUUAUGUCUUACUUCUUAUGUAUUGAGAAUUAGGGUUGUACACAGUCAUAUUAUUUCUUUAUAUCCUUGGUUUUAUUCUAUAUUCAAUUUUAAAUGUUCUUGACCAUUCACAAAUAAUUUCUAAAUCUCUAGCUUACUCAUUUUUUUUCAUUGCUGAUAUAAGAGUAUUUGAUUUGUUUCUUUUCUUUUUACCUAUCUAUUAAAAGAAACAUAUGCCAAUUUUUUGAGAUCCCAUCAUCAUUGUAUUUCAGUUGUUACCUGUGGCCUAUGAUAAGGAGGUCCUUGUGCUUUGGAAGUUUCUUUAUCUUCUUAACCAAGGGUUUCUCACAUCUUAAGCAGAAGUUUUCCUGCAGGACCAAAUUUAGACCAUUGCUUUUAAUCCCAAGCCAAAUGAUUGUCUAAAAAAAUUCGAGGGCAGUGUAUAUUUGGAACAGCAGACAGAUUCAUUGAGCCUAAGAACAAUAAAGGAAUCCAGAAAAAAAUUAAAUGGUUUUUGUCAAGGAAAACAGUAAUACCAUGAGCCUCGUUUCUCACCCCUUUGCAAACUGAAUCCAUCUUGUGAAAUUCUAUGUUCUUAUUUAGCAAAGCAACAGGAGAAGGGGGGAACGGAGUUAUUUGAUGAUGAUUCUUUUUUAAUCACAGCAGCUUGGGAUAGCUAACAAGUUCAGGACUUUCCACUACAGGUCUUUAACUUUUCUAUUACAUUCUCUUUCCUUUCUACACCUUUCUGGAAAGAGAACUCGGAUUUAAUAAGUUCAAGUAAGAGGAUAACUUCUGUGUAAAAUCACCUAUGUGAGUCCUGUGGCUGUCAGGAGAUAUUGGAAUUUAUUUGAUUCUGUACUGAGAAAAACUCAUCUUCAGUGUGUGCUUCUUCUUGGCAUCAAAAAUUAGCGAGACCCCACAAGCACCAGCCAGAAAUUGGAAUGGACUCUGUGUCUUUUAUUAAAAUUUCUGUGUGGGCACAGCUCUCUGAAGCUUGCCACAAGGAGGCCAGCUGGUGCUAGCAGGAGGACAUGGGGCUACCUUGCUCCUGGAGUUGUUUAGUCCUGGGGUUGAGAAAGUAGAGUGAAUCUCAAGUAGAAUGAGACAGAAUUUUCAAGCCCCACAGGCCAACUAGAUUUGACAGAUUCAGAAAACUUUUCUCAGUCAGCUUGCCUACUUGUGUAACAUUCUCCUUAUUUCUUUUAUGUUCUUUAAUAUUUAGUACAGAAACUUUUGAACAUUUCAGCCAAUUUCUGCUAAAAUAAAUAAAGAAGACACAUUUUGGUCAAGUUUAUUUUGGGCAUUAAAGUGAGGGAGCAGGAAGGGGCUCCUGAUAGAGUGAAUCAGAGCAGAAAAACUGAUAAGGAAAGCAAAGUUCAGAAGGAUUGAGCUGGUGUUAUGGUUUGGAUAUGAGGUGUCCCCCAAAACUCACACAUGAGGAAAUGUAAGAAGGUUCAGAGGAGAAAUGUUUGGGUUGUGAGAGUCUUAACCCAAUCAGAUGCGGAUUUAACUGAGUGGUAAUUGGAGUGGUAGGUUGUGGCUGGUUGGGAAUUGGGGCGUGGCUUUGGGGCAUAUAUUUGUAUCUAAUAAGCAAAGUUGUCUGUUUCCUGAUGAUGUGAGCUGCUUCACUCUGCCACACUCUCUCACCAUGAUGUUCAGCUUCACUGCAACUCCCAAGGAAUGGAGCCGGCCUUCUGUGGACUAAGACCUCUGAAACUAUGAGCCCUCAAAUAAACUUUUCCUCCUUUAAAAUUGUUCUGAUCAGAUCUUUUAGUCACAGCAGCAAAGAAGCUGACUAAAACAGUCAGGGUUCAUUCAGAUAUCCAUCUCUGGCCAUAGAUUCUCUAGUCAAUGCUAAACUCUGAAGAUUCCUGAGUGUGCCUUAUUAAAGCAAAUAGCCCUGUUGGUUAAUUACUAAGAAAAUGGACAAAUUCUCAUGUGUACACAGUCAAAUGUAGGUACAUUUAGGCUAAGAUCAUAGAUUUGCUCUUACCUCUAAACUUAAGAGAUUUCCUAGUUAUUAUACCUGGAUUGCUAUGAUUUACUCACUUAAGAAGUAGUAUGCCAUAGCAAAAUUGAUUUGUACUCUCAGUAAACUAACAUAAAACUAAUUUGCACUAAAAAUCCAACUGGAGAGGAAAUAUGGUGAACGAUAUUGGCCAAAUGAGAUUGUUAUAUGAUGUGCAUGUAUGAGUAUGUAACAAUUCCCACCAUUAUGGAUAACUAUUAUUCACCAAUAAAAAUAUGGAGAAAUAAAGAAAAGAAGAAUAUAGGAGAAAAAAAAAGCCAAUUGGAUUCUGAGCUCCAAAAGGGCAAUAAUAUCUCUAUUGCUUUUGUUACCUCAGUGCAGAACAUGGAUGUAUAACUCAGGAAAUGUUUGUUGAAUGAAUAUGCAUUAUGUUAGUGUGGAGCUUUUUAUAGUGUCUGAGUAUUUCUCUCCCUGCUCACUGUACUUUUUUCAAAAGCUUAGUGUGGCAAGUCAUUAUUCACAAGACGAUUAUUGGAACCUGGCUUCAGAGCAAAUAGAAGCUAGUCUUUGGAGCAGGUGUGGGGAAGGGCAGUUCUGCUCCCUUCAUCAGCAUGUCUUUGUAUAUCUGAGACUCAAGUUCCUGUGACAGUCUCCCUAGCACAGGGCUUGCAGCAUUCUUUCCUUCUCAUUUUCAGUUUUAAGUGGGCCAUUCAGAACUGCUCAAGUCACCCCUCUUCUCCUAGUUAUUUCAAACAUUUUCAUAUCAUUAAAAUCCUAUUUUUCUGGGUAUUACAUUCAGAGUACUAGAGUCACUUGCUUCUGGGAGGAACUCGUGUACUAAUCCCUUAUUAACAUACCAGAUUCUUCAUCUCUUAGGUGAGCAAGUGUUCAUUCACUGACCCCGUCUAGUUCAUUUUGAUGUUGAAGGGACUGGGGAAGAAAAUAAAUGUAAAACAAUUAUGACUUGAAAAUUCCUUGAGAAUAGAUCGAGCCACAUCAGUAGACAUGAUUGGAGCAUAUUUCAGUGCUACUCAGACUGUGGGGAAUGGCAAUUCAGCCUUUGUUCUUAUGUCUUUUAUUAUCUGAAACCAUUCACUUAAUAACACUGAGUGUUCAUUUCAUCACUUUAAAAUAAAUGACUUCAUAACUCAUGUCAGAAAUAAAUAAUAUUAACAUACAUGUCUGUAGGAGUCCAUAUAUGCAAGGUAAUAUUGUGUAUAAUAUCUUGAUAGAACAGUAUUCUUAUAGAAGUGAAUUAUAAGGGUGUAUUCACAUUCUGAGUAAACAGCUAGCCAGCUUUAGUCAAACCUAUGGCAUUGCUUGCUACCACCCUUCUCCUUAGGACAAUCCCUCCAACAUUUGUAAAUCUACAUUUUUAUCAAGUGAAAACUGUCUCCCAAAGUGAACUAGGAUGGAUACAAAAUUGGUGUCAUCCAUUUCUUCUGAUAAGAAGCAUAAACUACUAGAUUGGCUACUCCUUGAGAAGGUGGCUGUUUCCAGAUUGGCUUGAUUUAGCUACCUGUUUUUUUGUUUUUUUUUUUAACUAAUUCUUUAGGGAUAGGAACCAUGAUUAAAUUAGCUCAGAGAUGAAUUCUGAUAGUUGAGUGGGUGGUCUUCCUGUAUCCUAAAAUCCAAUCCUUACAGUAUCUUCAGAAAUAAGUAAAUCUCAUAAAUUCAACUAAAAGAACUUCAGUUCUAGUUACAGAAUAUAAAUUUGAUAUUGAGAUUUCUUUGGACCAAAUUAGUAGCCAGGAACUUCAAAUAAAUCCAAGAAAAGUCUCCUCCAAGACUUGAUCACAAUAAUAAGGAAAUAUUAAUACAUUGAUAAGCAGUUUUCCUUUUAUGUGUAGCAUACAGUACCAUUUCAAAAGUAGCAUAUAAAAAAAUUUAAGGCACUAAAGAAUACACACAAUAUUUUCUAAAUGAGUGGGUUUCAGAAUGAAAAAUUGUAACUUCAGAGUGAAAAAUUAUUAUUGCAUUACAAUUUAGCAAAACUGUUAAUUAGCCAUCUGCUUGUAAUUUAGUUCAAAGAAAAAUAAUAUUAGCUUACAUAAUGCCUUGAAUUUCCCUAUAGAAGGCCAGUAGGUGAAAUAUUGAUUAAGGCUUAUGAAAUUUGAACACAGUAUCUCAGACAACCAUAAUGACAAUAGUGUGCUGAGACCACAGUUCAAGAAGAAAAUAAUUUAAUGAAAGUAGAAUGAAGAUAGCCACUAUUAAUGAAUUUGCUAAUGAUUAUUUUCUGUAAGAUAUGUGUUAUAUAAUGUUCCCAGUUUCAUGUAUGCAAUGUACUAUUUUUGAUUAGCAAAGAGAAAAUUAUUAUCUCAGCUAUGAGAUUGGCCUUAUCAAAAGUUAUUUGGCUUAACCGGGCAGUCAUGUGUAAUUUUAAUUAUGAUAAUAAAUGGCAAAGAUAUUCAUAUGCUAGAAAUUAAAAUAAGGUACAUUAGAAGAAACAAUUUUGAAUAUAUUUUAAUUAUAUAGUUGCAUAAUAUACAAAUAAAUAUUAUACAAUUAUAUGUUACAAUUAUACCAAACAAUUCUCUGUGGAAACAACCAAGAGUAAAACAGAAUUAAUUCCAAUAGUAAAUGAAAAAUCAAGCUAGGAUAUGUAUGACCUGGAUGUACAAAGGAGUGGUAUUCAAAAUACUUAAAAACAGUCAGUCAUGGGCCCUCACCAAAAAGUACAAGAUGCUUGUCAUGGUAUUGAAGCAGUGUGUCCCUGAAGCUAUAUCCUGAACUAGGUGUUAAUCCUUUAGAUUUUGGACCACUGAGAAUUUCAUCAGGAUUCCAAAUAGGCCAAUGGGAAUGUAAGACAAGAAUCAUUUAGUAAUUAAUAUGAAAUAUAUCAAUAUUUUUAUAAGUGUGGGUGUACCUGUGCAUACAUGCUGAAUAUCAGCCCUGAUGAAUGUGAAAUUGUCCAUUUGUAAGCAUUUGAUUCAUUUUUCAUUAAACUUGAAAAGCAACCUGUCCUAACUCCAGAGCCUCCAAAUCAGAAUUAAUUUAUAAACCCAGGGAAGGUAAAAAACGAAGAGAAUACUAUAUACAACAUGAAAUCAAAAUGCUUAGAAGAUACUAGAGCUCCAUUUCUGGUUUAUAGCAUAUCAAAACACUCACCAGAAAAUAAGAAAAACUGAAUAUUUUAAUUUUUAAAUUUGUUUGAAAGCACUGAAGAAGUACCAAGAAAAUCAGGGCUUCAAUGGUAUUAUCCUAAUGAGAAAGGAAGCACAUUAAAUUAAGUCCUAUACAUCCUGCCCUUGGGCAUUGCCAUUCUUUGGUGCCUGACAUAGAGAUCUGCCAGUAAAU